GACGAAUUUCCAAUCUCAUUGGCUGUCAUUUUUACGGUUUUAAUCUCAUUGGCUGUCACUUUUACAGUUUUAAAAACCGUAAAAAUGACAGCCAAAGAGAUUGGAAAUUCGU